GGUCUGGGACAGCCCUAGCUGCAAGUUAAGGGACAGUCGUUCCUCCUGCAUUUGCAUCGGUAGUUCUCGCCUGUGUUCUGGGGACAAAGCAUUGGCUGGUCAGCACCUGAGCCGAACCCCUUCCUUUCGGGGAAAAGAAAGGUGCUGGGAAGCAACCGCCCAGCUCCCACCAUCUGUACUUACGUCGAGGAAGAUCGACAUGCCCUUGGACAGGUGCAGAGCAGAGCUGAGCUCCUCCGAGGAGUUGUUGGAGGACGGCGAUGUCUCCUGGGAAUCUUCCAUCCUCGGGAGCCCUGACGGCCUCAGGCGGAGCGGGGCUAGGCGGACGCACCGGCUCUGGCAAGGGCGCGGCCGCAGCUGCUGCUUCGCCGCCGCCGGGCUCUGGAUCCGGGAGGGUGUUCGCUCCCGCGCGCGCCUCCCUCCGCGCUCUCCGCGCUCUCCGCGCUCGGUGUCCCCCCCUCCCUCCUCCGGCCUCUGCGCUCCCACGCGCUCCAACUCUCGCCUCCUCCUUCCCGUAGUUGACGGCGUCUGGAUCCAUGUCAUCCCCGCACGUAGCAACGCGCGGAGGGGAGCGGGCUCUGCCCCCGGCACGGCCAUCGGCCACGGCUGGAGAUAGCCUGGGGACCCCUACCAGCCCCACGACGGCCCCAAGUGCAGGGAUGGAGGAGGGCGUCCGGACAGAGAGAAGGGACGAAUGGCAGGGCGUUUGUCCUGAGCAGCCAAAGCGCAAGAAUUCAUGAAAGCUGAGCAAAUUAAAGAUGAGUCUUUAAAGAUAACACAAAAAGUUCCCAGCCAAGAUGGACGAAUAGGAACAACUCUGGUCUGCAGUUCCCAGUGAGACCAAUGCAGAAGGAGGAGGAUGAAGCUCAGAAAGUUCAGUUGACCUGAGAAAAGUCACACAGACAGUGACUAGCAAAACUGCAAGCGGACUAAUACUUACCUGAUUCGAAGUCUCCUGAUGGUUUUGCUAUGCCUCCACGUAGAAUGCCUAUCCAUUGCAAUUCCCUGCCUCAGGGACCAGUGGAAGAAGGGUGAGAGCAAAGAAUUGGAAAGAGAAGAUGUUGGCUUUCCUCUUUUCUAUCUGCAAGACCCCUGCCUAGACAUAUCUGUGUGGUGAGUUAGAAAGGAUUUUCUAUAAGCUCU